rnacentral:ncRNA from 2 species
ACGUCCGACCCGCCAAUGGGUGCCCGCCGAGGCCACUCCGCCUCGCGGGUUAAACGGGAAGACCGGUUCAGCCGCACCCAGCGGCGAGUCCGGCGCUGCCCCCGCAACGGUAGGUGGGUGGCGGCAGACCCCGAGAGCCACUGCGGAUCGCACGUCCCCUGGGCGGCAUCCGCGGGAAGGCAGUCUGCCGCCCGGAGGUCUUCUCACCUCCGCCCCACAAGCCCGGAGACCGGCCCAUGGCCAACCGGAAGA